rnacentral:rRNA from 1 species
GUGCCAGCAGCCGCGGUAAUACGGAGAGGGCUAGCGUUAUUCGGAAUUAUUGGGCGUAAAGGGCGCGUAGGCUGGUUAAUAAGUUAAAAGUGAAAUCCCGAGGCUUAACCUUGGAAUUGCUUUUAAAACUAUUAAUCUAGAGAUUGAAAGAGGAUAGAGGAAUUCCUGAUGUAGAGGUAAAAUUCGUAAAUAUUAGGAGGAACACCAGUGGCGAAGGCGUCUAUCUGGUUCAAAUCUGACGCUGAAGCGCGAAGGCGUGGGGAGCAAACAGGAUUAGAUACCCUGGUAGUCCACGCUGUAAACGAUGAAUGUUAAAUAUGGGGAGUUUACUUUCUGUAUUACAGCUAACGCGUUAAACAUUCCGCCUGGGGACUACGGUCGCAAGAUUAAAACUUAAAGGAAUUGACGG